UCGGCGGGACUUCGCGCUCGCCGGAGAACCAAACCUUCUGAAUUUUUUAAUAAGUAUCUUCUGAGUGGGUUAAAAAAAAUGAAUCAAAACUUUCAACAACGGAUCUCUUGGUUCUGGCAUCGAUGAAGAACGCAGCGAAAUGCGAUAAGUAAUGUGAAUUGCAGAAUUCAGUGAAUCAUCGAAUCUUUGAACGCACAUUGCGCCCGUCAGUAUUCUGGCGGGCAUGCCUGUUCGAGCGUCAUUACGCCCCUCAAGUCCCCUGUGGACUUGGUGUUGGGGAUCGGCGAGGCUGGUUUUCCAGCACAGCCGUCCCUUAAAUUAAUUGGCGGUCUCGCCGUGGCCCUCCUCUGCGCAGUAGUAAAGCACUCGCAACAGGAGCCCGGCGCGGUCCACUGCCGUAAAACCCCCCAACUUUUUAUAGUUGACCUCGAAUCAGGUAGGACUACCCGCUGAACUUAAGCAUA
rnacentral:rRNA from 1 species